AGUGAACGCUGGCGGUAGGCCUAACACAUGCAAGUCGAACGGCAGCACAGUAAGAGCUUGCUCUUACGGGUGGCGAGUGGCGGACGGGUGAGGAAUACAUCGGAAUCUACUUUUUUGUGGGGGAUAACGUAGGGAAACUUACGCUAAUACCGCAUACGACCUACGGGUGAAAGCAGGGGAUCUUCGGACCUUUCGCGAUUGAAUGAGCCGAUGUCGGAUUAGCUAGUUGGCGGGGUAAAGGCCCACCAAGGCGACGAUCCGUAGCUGGUCUGAGAGGAUGAUCAGCCACACUGGAACUGAGACACGGUCCAGACUCCUACGGGAGGCAGCAGUGGGGAAUAUUGGACAAUGGGCGCAAGCCUGACCCAGCCAUACCGCGUGGGUGAAGAAGGCCUUCGGGUUGUAAAGCCCUUUUGUUGGGAAAGAAAAGCAGCAGGUUAAUACCCCGCUGUUCUGACGGUACCCAAAGAAUAAGCACCGGCUAACUUCGUG
rnacentral:rRNA from 1 species